UACGGAGGGAGCUAGCGUUGUUCGGAAUUACUGGGCGUAAAGCGCACGUAGGCGGCUUUGUAAGUUAGAGGUGAAAGCCUGGGGCUCAACCUCAGAAUUGCCUUUAAGACUGCAUCGCUUGAAUCCAGGAGAGGUGAGUGGAAUUCCGAGUGUAGAGGUGAAAUUCGUAGAUAUCAGGAGGAACACCGGUGGCGAAGGCGGGUCUCUGGGCCGAUA
rnacentral:rRNA from 1 species